rnacentral:rRNA from 1 species
AAGCUCGUAGUUGAAUUUCGGGGUUAGUAGGUUGGUCAUGCCUCUGGUAUGUACUGGUCUCACUGAUUCCUCCUUCCUCAUGAACCGUAAUGCCAUUAAUUUGGUGUUGCGGGGAAUUUGGACUGUUACUUUGAAAAAAUUAGAGUGUUUAAAGCAAGCUAACGCUUGAAUACAUUAGCAUGGAAUAAUGAAAUAGGACGUUCGAUCUUAUUUUGUUGGUUUCUAGGAUUGACGUAAUGAUUAAUAGGGAUAGUUGGG